rnacentral:rRNA from 1 species
CUGCACUCGACUACAUGAAGACGGAAUUGGUAGUAAUGGCGAGUCAGCAACAUCGCCGUGAAUACGUUCCCGGGGCUUGGACACACCGCCCGUCACAUCAUGGGAGUUGGUUUUACCCGAAGCCGCUGAAUUAACCGCAAGGAGA